GACGAACGCUGGCGGCGUGCUUAACACAUGCAAGUCGAACGGAAAGGCCUUUUCGGAGGUACUCGAGUGGCGAACGGGGGGGUAACACGUGGGUGAUCUGCCCUGCACUCUGGGAUAAGCCUGGGAAACUGGGUCGAAUACCUGAUAGGAUCGCACUUUCGUGUGUGGGGUGGACAGUGGUUUCGUUGUAGGAUGAGCCCGCGGCCGAUCAGCUUGUGUGUGGGGUAGUGGCCGACCAAGGCGGCGACGGGUAGCCGGACUGAGAGGGUGGUCGGCCACAUUGGCACUGAGACUCAGCCCAGACUCCUACGGGAGGCAGCAGUGGGGAAUGUUGAACAAUCGGCACAAGCCUGAUGCAGCGACGCCGCGUGGGGGAUGACGGCCUUCGGGUUGUAAUCUCCUUUCGCCAGGGACGAAGCGUUUUGUGACGGUACCUGGAGAAGAAGCACCGGCUAACUACGUG
rnacentral:rRNA from 1 species